GAUGAACGCUAGCUACAGGCUUAACACAUGCAAGUCGAGGGGAAACGAUAGAGAAAGCUUGCUUUUUCUAGGCGUCGACCGGCGCACGGGUGAGUAACGCGUAUCCAACCUGCCCACCACUUGGGGAUAACCUUGCGAAAGUAAGACUAAUACCCAAUGAUAUCUCAAGAAGACAUCUGAAUGAGAUUAAAGAUUUAUCGGUGAUGGAUGGGGAUGCGUCUGAUUAGCUUGUUGGCGGGGUAACGGCCCACCAAGGCGACGAUCAGUAGGGGUUCUGAGAGGAAGGUCCCCCACAUUGGAACUGAGACACGGGCCAAACUCCUACGGGAGGCAGCAGUGAGGAAUAUUGGUCAAUGGGCGAGAGCCUGAACCAGCCAAGUAGCGUGCAGGAUGACGGCCCUAUGGGUUGUAAACUGCUUUUAUAAGGGAAUGAAGUGAGCCUCGUGAGGCUUUUUGCAUGUACCUUAUGAAUAAGGACCGGCUAAUUCCGUGCCAGCAGCCGCCGUAA
rnacentral:rRNA from 1 species